ACAUACGGCCAUAGAUUGCAGAAUGCAGGGCUUCCCGUCCGCUCAGCCGUACUUAAGCUGCAAAUCGGUUGAUUAGUACUCAAGUGGGUGACCAUUGGGGAAUCCCAGCUGCUGUAUGUU
rnacentral:rRNA from 1 species